rnacentral:rRNA from 1 species
AGAGUUUGAUCCUGGCUCAGGAUGAACGCUGGCGGCGUGCCUAAUACAUGCAAGUCGAACGAGGUGCUUUUGUAGCAAUACGAGAGUAUCCUAGUGGCGAACGGGUGAGUAACGCGUUGGUGACCUACCCCAAAGUGUGGGAUAACAGUCCGAAAGGAUUGCUAAUACCGCAUGUGGUCAUUGGAUCUAGAAACUGAUGACUAAAGGAGCAAUUCGCUUUGGGAGGGACCUGCGUCCCAUCAGCUAGUUGGUGAGGUAACGGCUCACCAAGGCGACGACGGGUAGGGGACCUGAGAGGGUGGCCCCCCACAAUGGAACUGAAACACGGUCCAUACACCUACGGGUGGCAGCAGUAGGGAAUAUUGGUCAAUGGGCGAAAGCCUGAACCAGCAACGCCGCGUGUGCGAUGAAGGCCUUCGGGUCGUAAAGCACUUUUCUGGGAGAUGAGAAAGGACAGUAUCCCAGGAAUAAGUCUCGGCUAACUACGUGCCAGCAGCCGCGGUAAAACGUAGGAGGCGAGCGUUAUCCGGAUUCACUGGGCGUAAAGCGCGUGCAGGUGGCUUGGUAAGUUAGGCGUGAAAUCUCCCGGCUCAACUGGGAGAGGUCGUCUAAUACUACCGGGCUUGAGAGCAGAAGAGGAAGAUGGAAUUCCCGGUGUAGUGGUGAAAUGCGUAGAUAUCGGGAGGAACACCAGUGGCGAAGGCGAUCUUCUGGUCUGUUUCUGACACUCAGACGCGACAGCUAGGGUAGUAAACGGGAUUAGAGACCCCGGUAAUCCUAGCCGUAAACGAUGUGAACUUGGCGUUGGUGGGUUAAACUCCAUCAGUGCCGAAGCAAACGCGAUAAGUUCACCGCCUGGGGACUACGGCCGCAAGGUUAAAACUCAAAGGAAUUGACGGGGGCCCGCAC